rnacentral:lncRNA from 10 species
GAAACUUUUUGGGAAAGUUCCCCAAAACUUUGGGGAACUGUGUUCCCCUGAAGUUUGGAGGGUGAGGAGUGAAAGAGGUUGAGAAGAAUGAGCUGGCUGGAUGGAGUCUUGUUCUGUCACCAGGCUGGAGUGCAGUGGUGCGAUCUCAGCUCACUACAACCUCCACCUCCUGGGUUCAAGUGAAUCCCCUGCCUCAGCCUCCCUAGUAGCUGGGACUACAGGCACACACCACCACACCUGGCUAAUUUUUUGUAUUUUUUAGUAGAGACGGGGUUUCACCAUGUUGGCCAGGAUGGUCUCAAUCUCUUGACCUCAUGAUCUGCCCACCCCACCCUCCCAAAGUUCUGGGAUUACAGGCCUGAGCCACUGCACCUGGCUGCUAGUUCUUAAGAGGGAGGUAUGAGACGUAUGUAUAGACUAAGUGAAAGGAAAAUAUCUUGGGCCCCCAAAAUCACUAAGCUAAAAGGAAAAUUCAAGCUGGAAACUGCUCAGAGCAAACCUGCUUCCCAUUCUAUUCAAAGUCAUCCCUCUGCUCACUGAGGUAAAUGCAUAUUCUGAUUGGCUCCUUUGUAAAAGCUAAUUAGAAACUCAAAAGAAUGCAACUAUUUGUCUCUCACCUACUUGUGACCUGGAAGACCCCUCCCUGCUUCAAGUUCUCCCC